GAUGAACGCUGGCGGCGUGCCUAAUACAUGCAAGUCGAGCGAACGGACGAGAAGCUUGCUUCUCUGAUGUUAGCGGCGGACGGGUGAGUAACACGUGGAUAACCUACCUAUAAGACUGGGAUAACUUCGGGAAACCGGAGCUAAUACCGGAUAAUAUGUUGAACCGCAUGGUUCAAAAGUGAAAGACGGUCUUGCUGUCACUUAUAGAUGGAUCCGCGCUGCAUUAGCUAGUUGGUAAGGUAACGGCUUACCAAGGCAACGAUGCAUAGCCGACCUGAGAGGGUGAUCGGCCACACUGGAACUGAGACACGGUCCAGACUCCUACGGGAGGCAGCAGUAGGGAAUCUUCCGCAAUGGGCGAAAGCCUGACGGAGCAACGCCGCGUGAGUGAUGAAGGUCUUCGGAUCGUAAAACUCUGUUAUUAGGGAAGAACAUAUGUGUAAGUAACUGUGCACAUCUUGACGGUACCUAAUCAGAAAGCCACGGCUAACUACGUG
rnacentral:rRNA from 1 species